rnacentral:rRNA from 1 species
GACGAACGCUGGCGGCGUGCUUAACACAUGCAAGUCGAACGGAAAGGCCCUGCUUUUGUUGGGUGCUCGAGUGGCGAACGGGUGAGUAACACGUGAGUAACCUGCCCUUGACUUUGGGAUAACUUCAGGAAACUGGGGCUAAUACCGGAUAGGAGCUCCUGCUGCAUGGUGGGGGUUGGAAAGUUUCGGCGGUUGGGGAUGGACUCGCGGCUUAUCAGCUUGUUGGUGUGGUAGUGGCUUACCAAGGCUUUGACGGGUAGCCGGCCUGAGAGGGUGACCGGGCACAUUGGGACUGGGAUACGGCCCAGACGCCUACGGGAGGCAGCAGUGGGGAGUAUUGCACAAUGGGCGGAAGCCUGAUGCAGCAACGCCGCGUGCGGGAUGACGGCCUUCGGGUUGUAAACCGCUUUCGCCUGUGACGAAGCGUGAGUGACGGUAAUGGGUAAAGAAGCACCGGCUAACUACGUG